rnacentral:rRNA from 1 species
UACGUAGGGUGCGAGCGUUAAUCGGAAUUACUGGGCGUAAAGCGUGCGCAGGCGGUUUUGUAAGCCAGAUGUGAAAUCCCCGGGCUUAACCUGGGAAUGGCAUUUGGGACUGCAAGGCUGGAGUUUGGCAGAGGUGACUGGAAUUCCCGGUGUAGCAGUGAAAUGCGUAGAUAUCGGGAGGAAUACCGAUGGCGAAGGCAGGUCUCUGGGCUAUAACUGACGCUCAUGCACGAAAGCGUGGGGAGCAAACAGG